ACUCAAAGGAAUAGACGGGGGCCCGCACAAGCAGAGGAGCAUGUGGCUUAAUUCGAUGCAACGCGAAGAACCUUACCCGGGUUUGACAUGCAGCUGCACGGCCGAUGAAAGUCGGCCUCCUUCGAGGGUGCUGCACAGGUGCUGCAUGGCUGUCGUCAGUUCGUGCCGUGAGGUGUUUGGUUAAGUCCAGCAACGAACGCAACCCCUGUGUCCAGUUGCCAUCAGGUAACGCUGGGAACUCUGGACAGACUGCCCGUUCACACGGGAGGAAGGUGGGGACGACGUCAAGUCAGUAUGGCCCUUACACCCGGGGCCGCACACGUGCUACAAUGGCCGGCACAGAGGGAAGCGAAGCCGCGAGGCCGAGCCAACCCCCAAAACCGGCCCCAGUUCGGAUCGGGGUCUGCAACCCGACCCCGUGAAGUCGGAUUUGCUAGUAACGGCGCAUCAGCUACGGCGCCGUGAAUACGUUCCCGGGCCUUGUACACACCGCCCGU
rnacentral:rRNA from 1 species